GUGAGGAAUAUUGGUCAAUGGACGAGAGUCUGAACCAGCCAAGUCGCGUGAAGGAAGACGGUUCUAUGAAUUGUAAACUUCUUUUGUGCAGGAAUAAAGUGGGUUACGUGUAACCUUUUGUAUGUACUGUGCGAAUAAGGAUCGGCUAACUCCGUGCCAGCAGCCGCGGUAAUACGGAGGAUCCGAGCGUUAUCCGGAUUUAUUGGGUUUAAAGGGUGCGUAGGUGGAUUGAUAAGUCAGCGGUGAAAGUUUGCAGCUUAACUGUAAAAUUGCCGUUGAAACUGUCGGUCUUGAGUGCAAAUGAGGUAGGCGGAAUGUGUUGUGUAGCGGUGAAAUGCUUAGAUAUAACACAGAACUCCGAUUGCGAAGGCAGCUUACUGGGAUGCAACUGACACUGAUGCACGAAAGCGUGGGUAUCAAACAGGAUUAGAAACCCUGGUAGUCC
rnacentral:rRNA from 1 species